GACGAACGCUGGCGGCGUGCUUAACACAUGCAAGUCGAACGGAAAGGCCCUGCUUUUGUGGGGUGCUCGAGUGGCGAACGGGUGAGUAACACGUGAGUAACCUGCCCUUGACUUUGGGAUAACUUCAGGAAACUGGGGCUAAUACCGGAUAGAAGCUCCUGCUGCAUGGUGGGGGUUGGAAAGUUUCGGCGGUUGGGGAUGGACUCGCGGCUUAUCAGCUUGUUGGUGGGGUAGUGGCUUACCAAGGCUUUGACGGGUAGCCGGCCCGAGAGGGUGACCGGCCACAUGGGGACUGAGAUACGGCACAGACUACUACGGGAGGCAGCAGAGGGGAAUGAUGCACGAUGGGGGGAAGCCUGAUGCAGCAACGCCGCGUGAGGGAUGACGGCCUUCGGGUUGAAAACAGCUUUAGCCUGUGACGAAGCGUGAGUGACGGUAAUGGGUAAAGAAGCACCGGCUAACUACGUG
rnacentral:rRNA from 1 species